AUCCGAAUAGUUUAAUGUAAAAUAUUGAUUUGUGGUGUCAAUGAUGAGGUUAUUAUUAUCUUUGGAUU
rnacentral:tRNA from 1 species